CGCGUAGGCGGACCUUCAAGUCGGGUGUGAAAACCGGCGGCUUAACUGCCGGCCUGCAUUCGAUACUGUUGGUCUUGAGUACAUGAGAGGAAAGCGGAAUUCCAGGUGUAGCGGUGAAAUGCGUAGAUAUCUGGAAGAACACCAGUAGCGAAGGCGGCUUUCUGGCGUGAUACUGACGCUCAAGCGCGAAGGCUAGGGGAGCAAACA
rnacentral:rRNA from 1 species